rfam:Bacteria symbiont BFo2 of Frankliniella occidentalis strain BFo2 contig031, whole genome shotgun sequence.
GCCGAAGUGGCGAAAUCGGUAGACGCAGUUGAUUCAAAAUCAACCGCCCUUUGGGUGUGCCGGUUCAAGUCCGGCCUUCGGCA